rnacentral:rRNA from 1 species
GCAGCCUGAUGCAGCGACGCCGCGUGAGGGAUGACGGCCUUCGGGUUGUAAACCUCUUUCAGUAUCGACGAAGCGCAAGUGACGGUAGGUACAGAAGAAGGACCGGCCAACUACGUGCCAGCAGCCGCGGUAAUACGUAGGGUCCGAGCGUUGUCCGGAAUUACUGGGCGUAAAGAGCUCGUAGGUGGUUUGUCGCGUUGUUCGUGAAAACUCACAGCUCAACUGUGGGCGUGCGGGCGAUACGGGCAGACUAGAGUACUGCAGGGGAGACUGGAAUUCCUGGUGUAGCGGUGGAAUGCGCAGAUAUCAGGAGGAACACCGGUGGCGAAGGCGGGUCUCUGGGCAGUAACUGACGCUGAGGAGCGAAAGCGUGGGGAGCGAACAGGAUUAGAUACCCUGGUAGUCCACGCCGUAAACGGUGGGUACUAGGUGUGGGUUUCCUUCCUUGGGAUCCGUGCCGUAGCUAACGCAUUAAGUACCCCGCCUGGGGAGUACGGCCGCAAGGCUAAAACUCAAAGAAAUUGACGGGGGCCCGCACAAGCGGCGGAGCAUGUGGAUUAAUUCGAUGCAACGCGAAGAACCUUACCUGGGUUUGACAUGCACAGGACGUGCCUAGAGAUAGGUAUUCCCUUGUG